rnacentral:piRNA from 1 species
UCAUGUUGUGACUCAUGUAUAGCCUCCUGU